rnacentral:rRNA from 1 species
GGACUACCGGGGUAUCUAAUCCUGUUCGCUCCCCACGCUCUCGCUCCUCAGCGUCAGAACUGGCCCAGCAAGCCGCCUUCGCCACCGGUGUUCCUCCUGAUAUCUGCGCAUUUCACCGCUACACCAGGAAUUCCGCUUGCCCCUACCAGCCUCUAGCCUGCCCGUAUCCACCGCAGACCCGCAGUUAAGCCACGGGCUUUCACGGCAGACGCGACAGGCCGCCUACGAGCUCUUUACGCCCAAUAAUUCCGGACAACGCUUGCGCCCUACGUAUUACCGCGGCUGCUGGCAC